AGCUAAUAGAUACCCAGGUAGUCCACGCCGUAAACUAUGGAUGCUAGCUGUUAGAGGUAUCGACCCCUCUAGUAGCGAAAGCUAACGCGUUAAGCAUCCCGCCUGUGGAGUACGGUCGCAAGACUAAAACAUAAAGGAAUUGACGGGGACCCGCACAAGCGGUGGAGCGUGUUGUUUAAUUCGAUGGUAAGCGAAGAACCUUACCCAGGCUUGACAUCCUUGGAAUUUUGGCGAAAGCCGAGAGUGCCUUCGGGAACCAAGUGACAGGUGUUGCAUGGCCGUCGUCAGCUCGUGUCGUGAGAUGUUUGGUUAAGUCCAUCAACGAGCGCAACCCUUAUAGUUAGUUGAAUUUUCUAGCUAGACUGCCCUGGCAACAGGGAGGAAGGAGGGGAUGAUGUCAGGUCAGUAUUACCCUUACGUCUGGGGCUACAAACACGCUACAAUGGCGGUACAAAGGGCAGCCAAGUCGCGAGACGGAGCAAAU
rnacentral:rRNA from 1 species